CAGCAGCCGCGGUAAUACGUAACCCCUAAGUGGUUUCCACUCAUAUUGGGCCUAAAACACCUGUAGCCUGCCUUUCAAGUCUUUGGUGAAAUCAACCGGCUCAACCGGUUGAAUUGCUAAAGAUACUGUUUGGCUUGGGGAAGGGAGACGUGAAGGGAAUUUUUGGGGUAGCGGUGAAAUGUUAUGAUCCCAAAAAGACCACCAGUAGCGAAGGCGCUUCACGAGAACUAUCCCGACGGUGAGAGAUGAAAGCUGGGGGAGCGACCAGGAUUAGAUACCCUGUUAGUCCCAGCCGUAAACGAUGUGGACUAGGUGUUCUGCGCCUCACGUAGGCUCGGAGUGCCGACGCGAAGGCAUUAAGUCCACUGCCUGGGGAGUACACUCGCAAGGGUGAAACUUAAUGGAAUUGGCGGGGGCGCACUACAAGGGGUGGAUGCUGCGGUUUAAUUGGAUACAACGCCAGAAAAUCUUACCAGGGACGACAGCAGGAUGAUGGACAGUCUGAAGGGCUUUCCUGACACGCUGAGAGGUCCUGUAUGGCCACCGCCAGCUCGUACUAUGAAGCGUCCUGUUAACUCAGGCAACGGGCGAGACCCACGCCACUAGUCGCUACUUCUCCUUUUGGAGGGGGCACUCUAGUGGGACUGCAGGAGUAAUCUUGAGGAAGGUGUGGGCUACGGUAGGUCUGUAUGAGCCGAAUUUCCUGGGCAACACGCGGCACACAAUGGUUGAGACAAUGGGCUGCCAACCCGAAAGGGGGCGCUAAUCUCCUAAACUCAACCUCAGUUCGGAUUGAGGGCUGUAACCCGCCCUCAUGAAGCUGGAAUCCCCAGUAAUCGCGUGUCAUAACGCGCGGUGAAUAAGUCCCUGCCCCNUUGCACAC
rnacentral:rRNA from 1 species